rnacentral:rRNA from 1 species
UAUCUACAGGCUUAACACAUGCAAGUCGAGGGGCAGCAUGGUCUUAGCUUGCUAAGGCCGAUGGCGACCGGCGCACGGGUGAGUAACGCGUAUCCAACCUGCCUUACACUCUUGGACAGCCUUCUGAAAGGGAGAUUAAUACAAGAUGUUAUCAUGAGUAAGCAUUUUCACAUGAUUAAAGGUUUACCGGUGUAAGAUGGGGAUGCGUUCCAUUAGAUAGUAGGCGGGGUAACGGCCCACCUAGUCUUCGAUGGAUAGGGGUUCUGAGAGGAAGGUCCCCCACAUUGGAACUGAGACACGGUCCAAACUCCUACGGGAGGCAGCAGUGAGGAAUAUUGGUCAAUGGACGAGAGUCUGAACCAGCCAAGUAGCGUGAAGGAUGAAGGUUCUAUGGAUUGUAAACUUCUUUUAUACGGGAAUAAACGGAUCCACGUGUGGAUUUUUGCAUGUACCGUAUGAAUAAGGAUCGGCUAACUCCGUGCCAGCAGCCGCGGUAAUACGGAGGAUCCGAGCAUUAUCCGGAUUUAUUGGGUUUAAAGGGAGCGUAGAUGGGUUGUUAAGUCAGUUGUGAAAGUUUGCGGCUCAACCGUAAAAUUGCAAUUGAUACUGGCAGUCUUGAGUACAGUUGAGGUAGGCGGAAUUCGUGGUGUAGCGGUGAAAUGCUUAGAUAUCACGAAGAACUCCGAUUGCGAAGGCAGCUUACUAACCUGUAACUGACAUUGAUGCUCGAAAGUGUGGGUAUCAAACAGGAUUAGAUACCCUGGUAGUCCACACGGUAAACGAUGAAUACUCGCUGUAGGCGAUAUACAGUCUGCGGCCAAGCGAAAGCAUUAAGUAUUCCACCUGGGGAGUACGCCGGCAACGGUGAAACUCAAAGGAAUUGACGGGGGCCCGCACAAGCGGAGGAACAUGUGGUUUAAUUCGAUGAUACGCGAGGAACCUUACCCGGGCUUAAAUUGCAACCGAAUAUGGCGGAAACGCUAUAGCUAGCAAUAGCGGUUGUGAAGGUGCUGCAUGGUUGUCGUCAGCUCGUGCCGUGAGGUGUCGGCUUAAGUGCCAUAACGAGCGCAACCCUUGCCGAUAGUUACUAACAGGUCAUGCUGAGGACUCUGUCGGGACUGCCAUCGUAAGAUGUGAGGAAGGUGGGGAUGACGUCAAAUCAGCACGGCCCUUACGUCCGGGGCUACACACGUGUUACAAUGGGGGGUACAGAGGGCUGCUACCACGCAAGUGGAUGCCAAUCCCAAAAACCUCUCUCAGUUCGGAUUGAAGUCUGCAACCCGACUUCAUGAAGCUGGAUUCGCUAGUAAUCGCGCAUCAGCCACGGCGCGGUGAAUACGUUCCCGGGCCUUGUACACACCGCCCGUCAAGCCAUGGGAGCCGGGGGUACCUGAAGUGCGUAACCGCAAGGAGCGCCCUAGGGUAAAACUGGUGAC